AGCGGCGGACGGCUGAGCAACACGUUGGAACCUGCCUCGAACUCAGGAAUAACACACCGAAAGGUGUGCUAAUACCGGAUAGUCCCGAAAGGGUAAAGAUUUAUCGGUUCGAGAGGGUCCUGCGGCCUAUCAGUUUGUUGGUGAGGUAAUGGCUUACCAAGACUAUGACGGGUAGUUGGUCUGAGAGGAUGAUCAACCAGACUGGGACUGAGACACGGCCCAGACUCCUACGGGAGGCAGCAGUUAGGAAUCUUCCACAAUGGGGGCAACCCUGAUGGAGCGACGCUGCGUGAAGGAUGAAGCCUUUAGGGGUGUAAACUUCUUUUCUUAGGGAACAAUUUUUGAGCUAACCUAAGGAAUAAGUGGCAGCUAAUCACGUGCCAGCAGCUGCGGUAAUACGUGAGCCACAAACGCUAACCGGAAUCAUUGGGCGUAAAGGGUCCGUAGGGGGACAAGUAAGUAGUAUGUUACAGGCAUAGGCUCAACCUAUGUUCCGCGUACUAAACUGCUAGUCUAGAGGAUGCUAGAGGUUAGUGGAAUUUCCGGAGUAGGGGUAAUAUCCGUAGAUACCGGAAGGAA
rnacentral:rRNA from 1 species